GCAACUGCCCAGGCCCUGUGGGCAUCCAUGGUAAUAGGCAUAGGGCUUUGAGAGGAAGCCCCACAGGGAGUCUGAUAUGAAACAAGCAUGUUGUGUAUGAGGAGGUUUUCUUUAAUAGGAUUAGCUGUGUAGGUUGGCCUCACUUACCCAGUUGGCCAGGCCUGAAAAGUGUGCAUGUGUCAAAUUUUGGUCAAAGGAGGAAAUCUUAUUUUAAAGGCAGAAAAGAG